rnacentral:misc_RNA from 1 species
GAAAAUGGAUUUCCACACCAUUUUAUGGAGGCAGAAGCUUCAUUAGUAUUGUACUCCAACUCAUGGUGCUUCUUACAGAAUCCUCUGCCAUUCUACUGUUAAUAAUACCAAGGCCAUAAUACACAUGGAAGUAGGCGAUUCCAGUGAAUUUGACUGGCACAGUUCCAAGAUGGAAAGGCUUCUCAUUGACAGAGGACUACAACAUCUACUCACUGCCUCUCUUCUUGUUAUAUGGGAAAUCAUUUCUGAUGCUAGCAGAAACAUAAUUUCUUUGAUGAAAUCAGAACCAUACAAGCACCUGCAGCACAGCUUGGACAUUUGGCAUAAGGCCAAAAAGCUCACAACAUCUCUUUCUGAUAUUGCAAAGAAACCAGGAUGCAGAGGACUGUUGCAAUGGAUACGGCCUAUUGUGAAUCAUUUUUGGUGGUGCUGCAGUACUUGUAAAGGCAGUGUCGAGCGUCUGUUGAAGAGAUGGAUGGGAAUCCUGUACCAUAUCAUCAAUAAACAUGUGUUGGCAGGUGGACGGAUAUUGGUAACAAACAGAGAUUGGUGUGGAAGCAUGAAAUUUACACCAACUGUCGACAAACCUGAGCUGUGGAAAACUUUUUUAGCCAUACACUCCUUCAUUACUGUCCAAAACAGAAAUCCUAUGGUUAUGACGCCUAUCAUAUUAGGAACAUGGUGGCUGUCAUGGACCACAACAACCACCUUGGAAGGAUGCCAUUGGUUGGACAGGAUGGAGAAGUGUAUGCUAAAGGCCAGGUAUCCAGGAGGACGAAACAGUGGGUUGCAUAUGAGGAGAAAGCACCCAAAAUUUUUAAAUAUAUUCCAGAACUGAUGGCUGCUUGCAUGAGAGCAACAUAUGGUGUUUCUGAAACCAAGUUCAGAAAGAGUAGAAAAUCCAUAUUUUUGGAUUCAAUUGCGAAGAAUCUUUUUGGGGAAACAAAUCCGGGAUCAUGAAUCAUUUUAGCCAAGAUGCAGAGCAGAAAAAGACAGCUGAGAAUAAAUGAGUUCAUUCAAUAUUUAUUCAGAGUUAUCAGAAUUAGCAGAAUGGUAACCCCUGUAUUGUCCGCUUGCCUCAGGAAAAUGUCUUCUCAAGGCAACACAAACACAGGAAGUAACUGGUAUUCGCCUUCCAGCUCCCAGCCGCCUAUGUUGCCACAGGACAAAGUUUCUGUAGGCCUGGUUUCUGAAUGUCGACAGUUGAUAACUAGGAUCUUGGUUGGUCCGAAAACUCCAAUUCAAAAUGUUGGCAACCUCCAAUACAUCAUGCCUCAAGCACAAAUUUCUGAAUUCGGGUUUUGAGGUGAUGCAUGGAAAUUGCCUACAACAGAUGUUCAUGCGGGGAUCAUCAAAACUUCGACAUACCCCACAUGAACACCAUUGCACAUUUGUAUUAGAGUUUUCAUUCCUUCCACUAUCCUCCAUCCGCCUCAUUAGAAAAGGUCUUACAAAAUCUGGUUCGGCAGCUGUCAUGAUUUUCACUCUUUGCCGCAGUUCAUCAACAGGCAUACUGUCAACAGCAUUCUAUAAAAAAAAUUAAAAACUGUAGAUGUAAAAAAAGAUAUCCAAAAUUUGUUUUUUGUGUAUCAUUUUGUAAAAAAAAAAUCAGUGAAAUACAUUUCAUACCAUCAAAGAAACAGUAAGCUCUUGGUCAUUGAUGUUUUCAGGGCAAGCCGCCAAAGAAAGCUGUUGAUUGCGGCUUACUCCUUCAUUCUGGAUCACAUUACGACUGCUGUUUGAGGCAUAUGGAUGGUGGCGAUGGUAAAAAAACGACAAAAUAUUAUUCCCUCUCUAUCUAGGAGGACUUCAUCGUGGUGGGAGGGUGAACAUCAGGAAUUGGUGGCCAACACUCCUAGAAUUUACAAAUACAUUGUCUUACUGUGCUCACUAGCCUAGUUUGGUUGACUUGUACUGGCAGUUUGUGUUAUUACAAUUACUGCAGGGUCUCCGCUGGCAUGCACAACUUUUAAACUUCCCCCUGUUAUCACAAGGAUCUCUACAAAAAAGUUUUGUAUAUUGAAUGUUUCAGGAUUUUUUUAAUUUUGAGUGAUAUUUAUAUAUCUUUCAUACUGGUGUGUAAUAAAACAAUACUUCUGUUUAUGCAUAUAUUGAGCCUUUGCCAAUUAUUGUUAUUGUGUUUGUGUCAAUGAAAUAUAUGUAUUUAUAUUUGUGCUUCGAGUUUUGAAUCGGUAGAUAUUAUAAUCUAAUUAGAAAUUUGGGAUCAAUCAUUCAUCAAAUAUUGCAUAUAAACAUAACUACAUGUAAAUGUUUUUAUGAUUAUUUGAAGAGAUAUUAGGCCUGUCAUUGUCAAAAACUAUAAAGAUUUCAGCAUCAGUAUACCCUUUGUUAAAAAAAGUAAUUUCUCAUCAUACUUCUUGUCCUCUCUUUGCCUCGCCCAGUCAUUAUUGUAGAGACAGUACAUCAUUUUAUUGCAGUCAAAAAUAUGACCGUAUAGGCCCAUUUUUUCAGCUAGGUAAAUUCUUGUUUUUGUAAGAAUAUUUUCAAAUAAAUUUCAAUUCACAUGCACCAC